rnacentral:rRNA from 1 species
AGAAUCAACGCUGGCGGCGUGCCUAACACAUGCAAGUCGAACGAGAAAGUGGGAGCAAUCCCACGAGUAAAGUGGCGCACGGGUGAGUAACACGUGACUAACCUACCCUUGAGUGGGGGAUAACCUAGGGAAACCUGGGCUAAUACCGCAUAAUACCUACGGGUCAAAGGAGCAAUUCGCUUUAGGAGGGGUCGCGGCAGAUUAGUUAGUUGGCGGGGUAAUGGCCCACCAAGACAGUGAUCUGUA